GGAAUAUUGCACAAUGGGGGAAACCCUGAUGCAGCGACGCCGCGUGAGUGAAGAAGCAUUUCGGUGCGUAAAGCUCUAUCAGCAGGAAAGACAAUGACGGUACCUGACUAAGAAGCCCCGGCUAACUACGUGCCAGCAGCCGCGGUAAUACGUAGGGGGCAAGCGUUAUCCGGAUUUACUGGGUGUAAAGGGAGCGUAGACGGAUAUUUAAGUCUGAAGUGAAAUGCGGGGGCUCAACCCCUGAACUGCUUUGGAUACUGGAUAUCUGGAGUGCAGGAGAGGUAAGCGGAAUUCCUGGUGUAGCGGUGAAAUGCGUAGAUAUCAGGAGGAACACCGGAGGCGAAGGCGGCUUACUGGACUGUAACUGACGUUGAGGCUCGAAGGCGUGGGGAGCAAACA
rnacentral:rRNA from 1 species